GCUCCGUCCUUCAGGCCUAUCUCAAACUUGCACCUGACACUUCCUCUCUUUUUGUUCCUUGUAGGGGGAUACCGGGACCUCCGGGUCAAAUUCUUUCUUCCUCUCUCUUUUAGUUUUUCCAAAUGCUCCCCAUUUGCUGUUGGCUAAAUACAUAUUUUAAGCACAUAUUGCAAACUUUAAGACAUUAGCCUUGACACAACUAGGGAGAAAAUACACGCAAUUCCCUUACUCAACAACACAGGGUAAUGAAGUCCUAAAAGCCAAAUAUACACACCAGACAGGGAAUGGUUAAGGAACACAGUGGGCGGGGUGUUCCCCUGGGGCUAGGGGCAAGCAGCUGGGCUGGAGCAGCUACUCCCGAAGGAGCUUCCGGCUGGAGACAGCAAAAUGAAAGGUUAGCAGUUAGGAGCGUGCAGCCUACAGCUUCUGUCUCAAAUCCACCGUGUGAAACCCAAGGGUCAGAGCAUGCCCCAGCUGGAAGAUUCAGGACUAUGCCCUGGGGUGCCCACCUCCGAGGAACCACUUGGCCUGUCUCAGUCAGCUGAUGCAAUCGAUGGUCAAGGACCUCUCAGGACCACAGAAGGGACAGUGUGAUAACGAUCCUGUUACAGAGGCAGGAGUCCAUGAUCCCUAAUCCUCAGCUCUAGUCUUUUUGUCUGCAGAUCUCAUUCAAGGUGGUUGUGAGCCACCAUGUGGUUGCCGGGAAUUGAACUCAUGACCUCUGGAAGAACAGUCAGUCCUCCUAACCGCUGAGCCAUCUCUCCAGCCCUCUCUGGUUCCUUUUCUUACCCCAGGUGGGUGCCCCUUGAGGCCACUUCACCCCCUCCGCCAUCGCCUCCUAGUCUCAAGCCCAACACCGACGCGUAAAUCCCCUCCUGUGUGCACCUCGCAUUUCAAACGCAGAGGACCCACGUCCUGGUUUUGUCUGACAGAGGGCGGGGCUUAUCUCAGCUCACAGUUCCAGGUUGCACGGGCUAUGGAUGAGGGGUUGCCGUGACAACGGGGACACCCCCCCCCCCCAGCAGCUGGCUCUUCACCACAUCCACAGUCAAGAGCAGAGAGAGAAACCAACACUUGCACACUCGCUGCCUGGCUUCAUUCUGCCACCAGCGUCUAACAAUCCUCAACCCAUACCCCUGGAAUCAGCCGCCGGUUUUAGGCCGGAUCUUUGCGCACCAGCGAACACAUCUGAGAGCAAACUGCGCUGCGCAAUCCCUCGCUGAGUCUCCCGAGUGAGCCUCGGCUGUGUCCCACGGGACGGUGGAAACGAACCAGCGCAGAGCACACAAGAGAAAACGUGAUAGUCGGCUCCCUGUCAGCUCAGGGUCAGCAUGGAACUCAAAGGGGCCUUUCAUAAAGCCAACAAUUACCAACGUCUACUUCGUAAACUCGUUAGUCUUUGCAACUAACCCGCAUAGCGCUCCCGAUUACAGUGAAAAAAUCUGCCCACUUAGUGACCGAUCCACGCUGUUUAAAACAUUCAGCUUCCCGGAAUCUCUUGUGCCUCCCAGGCUAGACCACAGACAAGCUUGGCUUCCCUAGGAGCCUCAAGUUAGCAACAAGAGACUUAACUCACCCUGCUGCCUUGGAUUAUUGAAUACCCAACAAGUAUUCCUUUUGCUUCAAGGAUGUCUUAAGUAAGAACUGACCAUGAAAUCUUGGCAGAAAUUCUCCGCCACUCUGCCAACGCCCUUCCUGGGGCCCCAGGUAGGCGCCCCCUCUGCCUUUCCGGCACCCUCUCCGUCCCCCGCCUCCCUUGAGACCUGCCCAUCCCCUCCAUCGUCCCCUCCCGAGUUUUACGACCAGCACCGACACACACUGAGAGUUGGCAGAGAGCACAGAUAACUGUCUUCUACGUCUCCACCCCACAGGAGCGAGAAUCGUAGCAUGUGCACACCGUUGGGACAACUUUGAGAACUACACCCCCGCGCUCGCCCAGCGAGCUGAUCACAAACAUCUCUACUGGGUAUCAUUUGAGUGGAACAAAGGGCAGGGUGUGGGUGGUGCACACCUUCAAUCCUAGCACCCAGGAGACAGAGGCAGGUAGAUUUUUGUGAACCAGCCUGGUGUUCAUAGUGAGUUCCAGGACAGCCUGAGCUGCACGGUGAGUUCCAGGAUAGCCCUGGGCUGCGCAGUGAGACCCUGUCUCAAAAACAAACAAACAAACAAACAAAAAAGCAAAUUAUAAAGAGGAGCAAAGCAUCAGGCAAAGGACGAGCUUCUUGUUUUGAAAUCGCACCGAGUUCAGGGAGCCGUGGUGGGGAACCCCCAGGCCCAGCUCGCCAAGGCAGACGCAGGAGAGUUGGAGGACUUCAUUGUUUCCUAAAACUUAGCUUCCUCGAGAAACUCGAAGAGACCCCGCCUCAAAAGCCAAGGGCAGGGGUAUGGAGCACUUAUCUGGGAUGUGAGGGGCCCUGGCCCGAGUCCUGAAUCCAAGCUAGCAAGCACCACAGGCAACCCAGUCCUUGAUCCUGCCGUGAGCACCCUUCCCUGUGAUACCUAUGCUUGUCUUCUCUGGCAGAGGACUUACACAGAUGUAAAAUCCCCAAGUGUCUAUAGGAAUGAAUUCAAUAUUCUACACAAUGACAGUACUUUUAAAGAAAAUACGUUUGAGAGUCCUGGGAGACGGAUCUACCCCAAAUGUCGGCCGGCUGCACGCCUUACUUCACUCGACUUUCUCUGCAGCUGAAGUACCUCUGAAUCGAUCAGACUUUGAUGCUGUUAGGAAGACUUCGUAUUCAAGGGCAACUGUUUGGUUGCUUCACUGAAGAACCUUUGGCUUUUGCCUCCAGCUUUAUUGAGGCUUGCCUGACAAAAGCUCUGCCUAUUUAAGACGUAUCCAUUUGAUAGAUGCUGUGACAGGGCUACCAAAUAAAGCCAAGUAUGUGGUGAUAUAUUA